rnacentral:rRNA from 1 species
UACGGGGGGGAGCAAGCGUUGUUCGGAUUUACUGGGCGUAAAGGGCGCGUAGGCGGCCACCGCAAGUCGGUUGUGAAAUCUCCGGGCUUAACCCGGAAAGGUCAAUCGAUACUGCGGGGCUAGAGUGCAGAAGGGGCAACUGGAAUUCUCGGUGUAGCGGUGAAAUGCGUAGAUAUCGGGAGGAACACCAGUGGCGAAGGCGAGUCUCUGGGCUGAUACCGACGCUGAGGCGCGAAAGCCAGGGGAGCAAACGGG